rnacentral:rRNA from 1 species
GCGAACGCUGGCGGCAGGCCUAACACAUGCAAGUCGAGCGCCCAGCAAUGGGAGCGGCAGACGGGUGAGUAACGCGUGGGGAUCUGCCCAAUGGUACGGAAUAACCCAGGGAAACUUGGACUAAUACCGUAUGUGCCCUUCGGGGGAAAGAUUUAUCGCCAUUGGAUGAACCCGCGUCGGAUUAGCUAGUUGGUGAGGUAAAGGCUCACCAAGGCGACGAUCCGUAGCUGGUCUGAGAGGAUGAUCAGCCACACUGGGACUGAGACACGGCCCAGACUCCUACGGGAGGCAGCAGUGGGGAAUAUUGGACAAUGGGCGCAAGCCUGAUCCAGCCAUGCCGCGUGUGUGAUGAAGGCCUUAGGGUUGUAAAGCACUUUCGCCGGUGAAGAUAAUGACGGUAACCGGAGAAGAAGCCCCGGCUAACUUCGU